GGAUGAGAAGCUUCGACUAAGGUUCGAUUCGAGCGAAAGCGAGAAAGCGUUGCCGCAGGCAACGACCCGAAGGGCGAAGCGCGCAGCGCUGAGUAAUCCUUCCCCUACCACCA
rnacentral:sRNA from 1 species